rnacentral:rRNA from 1 species
GACAGAGGGUGCAAACGUUGUCCGGAUUUACUGGGCGUAAAGGGCUUGUAGGCGGUCCGCUAAGUCUGGUGUGAAAUCUCCCGGCUCAACUGGGAGGGGUCAUCGGAUACUGGCGGACUUGAGGGGGGUAGAGGAAAGCAGAAUUCCUGGUGUAGCGGUGAAAUGCGUAGAUAUCAGGAGGAAUACCAGUGGCGAAGGCGGCUUUCUGGGCCUACCCUGACGCUGAGGAGCGAAAGCGUGGGGAGCAAACCGG